GAAGAUGCCACCCACAUUUUAGGGGGCAGCCUGAGCCUUUUCCCAAGCAAGAUGCCUCCUGGGGAGACUAGUGCAGACAGGCAGUUCUGAUUAUGUAUGCAAAUACAGGUCUGGCCCUGAAGCUUAUUUGAGAGCCACACAGCUCAGCUAAGCCACCCUGGAGAAAGAAUCUUACAAAGAAUACUAAAGAGCAUCCAAGUGUGAAGAAUGAAACACACAGAUGAGCCCCAAGAGGAUGAGGAAGGGAGAGGCUGGUGGGGGUCUGAUUCUCAUCUCCACCUUAACAGAAUGCACAUGAAGUCCAGCCAUGGUGUAGCCAAGGAGACCCACUAAGACCACCAAAAGCUUGGAAAUGAGGAUGCAGGGGCAAAGGACGGCAUUAUAGGCGCAUACAUCUCUUCACACCAUGAAUGAUUUGAAGCUUGCAUGCUUUUGGAUUGCCCUGGUGAAGAUUUAGUUUCCAGCUCAAGAAAACCCAUGUCAGAAAAUCGUCCUUCAGCAUUCUCAGAGGAUAAAUAAAAAAGAUUGCUACUGAAAGAACCCAAUUUUGUUUUUCAAAAUAUAUGUGCAAAUAGACAUUGAAAAAAAUAUGGGCAUGAUAUAAUCAAAAUGGUAUAAAUUGUCAUGUAUGGAUAGAGGAUAAUAAUGAUUUCUAUUUUGGGGGAGGACUUUUUAAUUUUC
rnacentral:lncRNA from 1 species